CAAAGUGCUGGGAUUAUAGGCAUGAGUCACCACGUCUGACCCAACUUUACUUCUUAUUAAUUUAAAUUAUUCUAGUUACAAACAGAGAGAUCCACAUUAUUUUGAAUAAACUGCUAAAAUGAAACACUCAAUAGUUAUUACAUAAACCAGGAAUGAUCACAACUGUAUUUUGUGUUUGUAAAGAACUUUAUAGCAGUGUCUUGCCAGAUUAUGCUUCACCUAUCAAAUCUCUGUGUCCAGGCAUCAGAGGGAGUUUAACACCAAGCCUUAGCCCUCAGAAAGCUGCCCUCUUGGAACCUGAGUUCUAAGAGCUCAUCUGCAUUUAUCUUCCAGCCCGUAUUCCUGGCACCGUAUUCAGGUCUUCAUCCCUCUUUUGUUGUUGUUGUCUUCCGAAAGCUGGUCAGUGACUUCUCUGUCUUGCAUGUUCCUGUUAUAUGGAUCAUUCCGAAGAUAUUGUGGUCACAUUCUCCCUGUCCUAUUCAAAAUCUCCCGUUGUUUCAAUUCUUUAUCAGUGCGACCCAAAGGCCACAGCUUAACGUUUAAGACCCUCUGUUGCCUAGUUUUCCCCACAUUUUCAACAUUGGGUUCCAUUCUCUUCCCUCGUGGUGUAAUGCUUUGUACGUUGACUCCUCCUUCUUCAUGAUCAGGGAUUUCUCUUACUAUGAUCGCAUUCUACCACCUAAAACUAUAUUACAGGUCCCUAUCAGCACCUCUUCCUUUCUCUCUUCUUGUAGCCACUGAUCCCCUCAGCCUCUGAGUUCCUAUAUCAGUGGGAAUUGGGAUGUCAUAGUACAAGGUGGUAUAUAGAAUGUGAGCCUUAGAAUGAGCUGGCCUGAUACAAAUCCUACCUGUAAUACUUGACAAUUAUAUACUAUUAAACAAAUAACCUUUCUGGUCUCAGGUUCAUUUGUGAGCAGAAGGUAAUACCUGCUUUUGAGAAUAUCAUGCGGUUGAGGAUAAAGAAAGCAAUAUUACUAUUGCUAAUAUUAUGCAGUUGACCAUUCAUUCUUAACUCUCUUUAUUACUCGUUGACUUUGUAGCUGCGUAUUGCUUGCAUUGUCUUCCAAAUACCUUGGCAACCACCUAAAAGCAGCUUGUGCCUUUGGCAGUUGAAUCUGGAGUGGGGCUUUACAUAAGUUAAUGAUAAUUAUCAUAAUUUAUCAAGCACUUUCUAUAAGUCAAGGACUCAGCUAUAUUAACCCCCCAAACAAUCUUUGAAGUGAAUCCUGUUAUCAUCACCAUUUUCCCCAUUAGAAAACUUGGGCUUAGAGAUCCAAGGUUUCAUAGCAGAUGUGUGGUAGAACAAGGUGUUGAACCAGGUCAAAAGGUUUAGUGUUAACAUUUUGACUUCUAGAAGAAAGAGAGAGAGACCUAGGUUCAAAUCCUGGUUUACCACUUUCUAGAUCUGUGACAUUGGGUGAAUUUCUUAAUUGCUAUAAGCCUCAGUUUUCUUAUCUGUAAAAUUAGGCUGUUAAUAUUGCUUACUUCCUAGAGUAUUUCUGAAGAUUAAAUGAGAUAAUCCAUGACAAACUACGUGGGAUGUUUGAAAGGCUCUGUAAAUGUUAUUCAUUAAUAUUUAUUAUGUCUAUAAAACUUGUACACUUAAAUCUUAUGCACAAUGCCACGUUGGUACAUAUUUUCUAAUAGAUUAUUUUUAUGUCACUGUCCCUCUGGACAAAAGUAGUUGAAAUAAUUCAUAGAAAAUCCAGGACUGAGCGGGUACAUGAAUUGACUUCACAUUGGAACAUAAAGCAAGAUAUUGUUUUCAGACUCUGAACACUUUCAAGGCUUACUGAUGGAGUGAUAAUAACAUUCCAUACUCACCUUGUAGUGUCCAGUAAAUACAUCUGUUUGGUUUUCUCAUGUUAUAGUGAGAGUCAACUACAUUAAAGCAAUACACCUCCCUGGGAUUUGGGGAAAUUAUUGCACUUCUCGUGCCUCAUGACACAAUCCAGAGUGUGCUAUAAACACCCAGAAAGGCACUGCUUGUUGUAUCUUGUUGUGUGAUUCAGUAUCUAGCAGAAAGGAGGAGGGGGAGGGGGAGGGGGGGGGGGAGGGGGAGGAGAAGAAAGAGAAGAAAUGGGAGAAUGUUGUGGGAAAUCCAAGUACAGCAGUCCUCCCUUAUUCUCAGGAAAUACGUUUCAAGACUUCCAGUGGAUACGGGAAAUGGAUGGUACAAAAACCCUAUAUGUACAAUGCACAUAUUUUAUUUCUUUUCUCAUCUUCAUAAUUUCAUGGAUAUAAUAUUUAUUCUUACCUUACAUCUUAGCAGCCUCAGCAUCCUUUCAUUUUUCAUUAUUAAGUGGAGAACUUUUACUUUUUUACUUAGAAGAAACACUUUGUGGCUUCUCUUUGGCAUAUCCGAAUUACCAGCAUCAGCACUUGUGCUUUGGGGCCAUAAUUAGGUAGAAUGGGGUUAUGUGAACACAAGCACUGUGACACCCUGCAGUGGAUCUGGCAACUGAGAUGGCUACUAUGUGACAGAUGGGUGAAAGCAUCAGCAGCUUGGAAUAGCUGGACAAAGAGAUGACCCACGUCCCCAGUGGGAUGGAGCAGGACAGCAUGGGAUUUUAUCACGGGUACUCAUAAUGUGACACAAUUUAAAGUUUAUAAAUUAUUUAUUUGUGGAAUUUUUAAUUUAAUAUUUUCAGACCACAGUUGAGCACUGGUAAUGGAAACUGCACAAAGUGAAGUUGACAUAGAUAAGGGGGAAGUUAUAUACACUUCUUUGGGUGAUUUUGAGGGUCUGGGCAAUAUAUGGUGAUUUUAUAACUGUUGAUCUCAAAAGACUCUCCAGUGGAACUCCCACAUUUCUCAAAGCAUUUAUUCUUUAAAAUGUAAUAACCAUUUAUAAUAUAUUUAAAGCCAAACUGGAACAGUAAUCUAGGAAUAUAACAUCCAAGAGUGUCACUACUCAGAAGGGAAAUUAAUGCAGCAGAGGUACAUGGAGCUGUAUCUGCGCAUAGCUUUUCUCUCCUGGGAAAGCCCCAGAGUGGGAAAUUGUCACCGGAGGCAAAAUUAUACAGAAGAUUGAUUGAUUUUCAGUCCGCCUAGGAAAGUGCUCCCCAGUGUCCUCAUGUACCCAACAGGGUUUUGGACCACUGACAGAGAUUGUUCCUCUAUUGUAGGAUGUGUGGUUGCUAUAUUUCCAUUCACUCAUGCAGCAGUUAUAUGUUGAGUGCCUACGGUCCACUACAUGCUUGUGCCUUUGAAUCUGCCACAGUUGAAUCUGGAAUCGAGCUCAUGGCAGUUUAAGACUUAAGAUAGAUAAGAUCCCUGCCCUGUUACUUGCAUUACAGUUGAGAAAGACAGUAAGCUUGACGAUAAGUAAGCACAAUUACUUCAGCUAGUGAUUUGAGCUGUAAUAAAAAUACCAUGAAAUAAUAAAAUGAAGCGACAGACAAAUGGGGCUAUUUCAUAGAGGAUGGUCUGGGUACAGCGUGCUCACUGAGAGUGUGACAUUUGAACCAAGGCUUGAACUUGGCGCCAGACAUGGAAAGACCUGGAGCAUUCUAGGCAGAGAAAAUAGCUACAAUGAAGGUCUUAGAAUGGAACCUGUUGGGUGUGUCCAGAAAUGGAAGCUGGACGUGGCUGAAGCAUAGGGAGUAAGGAGCAGUGGGUAGAGUAGAUGGUGCAGGCAGGGGCCAGCUUAUGUAAGUCCUGCAGGUGCUAGCAUGGAGUGUGGGCGAACUCAUGACUCCUCCUCCAAUAGGAAGUUCUUAAAAGCACAGAAAUGAGCUGACUUUCACUGAGCAUGUACCAUUUUCCUACUACUGUUCCACAUGAGACUCAUCUCACCUCAUCUAACCAUGAUCUCCCUAGACCUCACCCCCUUGGGCUUUGUCUAUUCUAUUUCUUUUGCAAAUGUUCCUUUAAACUUCACUCCCUUAGAAAAACCUUCCCUGACCCCUCGACUCCCCACCCUCAGGCCAGGCUAAUACACCUGCCACGUGCUCUCAUAAAUACUUUGGCCUUUUUGUUCAUAGCCCAGAUUGUGGAUUAUGAUUAUGUCUUUGAUUACAUAUUUGGCCCUCUCUCUUGAUUGUGAGCAUUGUGAGGUCAGGAAUCAGGUCAGUUUUUGUCACUGUUGUUCUCUCAGCCCCUGCCAUGGUGCCUGGCACGUAGAACACAGUCAGCAAAUACUGUACUUGUUGAUCCUAGCAGUAUGUUCACUGCCCCAAGGAAGUGAAUGUCAGUGGGUCCGAUUCCACCAUCUCACAUCCGAAACGAUCCUUUUUACCUAGCCUCUCAGAGACCCAGUAGGGCCCACCUGAGAGGGCUCUAGAGGCUUCCUGUUGAGUUGGGCCUGACAUGGGAAGUCUGUCCAAUAAGGAUCACAAGUUCCCUGGAUCACGACAGUGUGACUGGUAUACACACUAGGCAAAUUCACGCACACACCAUGUGCACACAUAGAACACGUGUGUGUGUGUGAGGUAGCUUAAGUACCCAGCACAGUAUCUAAAACAGAGUAGGCACUAUCUAGCUAUUUUUAUUCAACAUUUCUU